UGGGGAAUUUUGGACAAUGGGCGAAAGCCUGAUCCAGCAAUGCCGCGUGUGUGAAGAAGGCCUUCGGGUUGUAAAGCACUUUUGUCCGGAAAGAAAUGGCUCUGGUUAAUACCUGGGGUCGAUGACGGUACCGGAAGAAUAAGGACCGGCUAACUACGUGCCAGCAGCCGCGGUAAUACGUAGGUUCCAAGCGUUAAUCGGAAUUACUGGGCGUAAAGCGUGCGCAGGCGGUUGUGCAAGACCGAUGUGAAAUCCCCGAGCUUAACUUGGGAAUUGCAUUGGUGACUGCACGGCUAGAGUGUGUCAGAGGGGGGUAGAAUUCCACGUGUAGCAGUGAAAUGCGUAGAGAUGUGGAGGAAUACCGAUGGCGAAGGCAGCCCCCUGGGAUAACACUGACGCUCAUGCACGAAAGCGUGGGGAGCAAACAGG
rnacentral:rRNA from 1 species